UACAGAGGUCUCAAGCGUUGUUCGGAUUCAUUGGGCGUAAAGGGUGCGUAGGCGGCGCGGUAAGUCGGGUGUGAAAUCUCGGAGCUUAACUCCGAAACUGCAUUCGAUACUGCCGUGCUUGAGGACUGGAGAGGAGACUGGAAUUUACGGUGUAGCGGUGAAAUGCGUAGAUAUCGUAAGGAAGACCAGUGGCGAAGGCGGGUCCCUGGACAGUUCCUGACGCUGAGACGCGAAAGCGUGGGGAGCGAACAGG
rnacentral:rRNA from 1 species